GACGAACGCUGGCGGCGUGCUUAACACAUGCAAGUCGAACGGAAAGGCCCUGCUUUUGUGGGGUGCUCGAGUGGCGAACGGGUGAGUAACACGUGAGUAACCUGCCCUUGACUUUGGGAUAACUUCAGGAAACUGGGGCUAAUACCGGAUAGGAGCUCCUGCUGCAUGGUGGGGGUUGGAAAGUUCCGGCGGUUGGGGAUGGACUCGCGGCUUAGCAGCUUGUUGGUGGGGUAGUGGCUUACCAAGGCUUUGACGGGUAGCCGGCCUGAGAGGGUGACCGGCCACAUUGGGACUGGGAUACGGCCCAGACUCCUACGUGAGGCAGCAGUGGGAAUAUUGCACAAUGGGCGGAAGCCUGAUGCAGCAACGCCGCGUGCGGGAUGACGGCCUUCGGGUUGUGAACCGCUUUCGCCUGUGACGAAGCGUGAGUGACGGUAAUGGGUAAAGAAGCACCGGCUAACUACGUG
rnacentral:rRNA from 1 species